UUAUUCAGAAACAAAUCUGAAAUUUAGAGAGAGAAUCAGAGCUAUUUGUAGAGAGAGAAAGCUCUGGCGACCACUCCGUCUUUGUAGAGAUCGAAGUUUAGUUGCAGCAUAUUGUUGGUUGUGAAAAUGAAAAAGUGCAAAUCUGUCGUUAUUGUUUGUUGCUGUUUGAACAAAGAAGACAAAAAUUGCAGAUUUUCAGUUUGAUAUUGUUGAUUUGUCGAAAAAGGUUAGUUGUUUGAACGACCCAUCCCUUCCCCUGCCGCUGCUAUAAACACCACACACACACACAUGCUUGAACGGUGACCACCGAUACUAACAUCAAUCACCACUAAAACUACCACCCAAUCUACCCACCACAAUCAUCAAACCACCACCCACACCCAGUAAAUAAGAUCGACAGAGGUGGUUUUAGAGUUGUUUACGAAGGGGUUCUAAGAGAUGGUUCUCAGGUGGCCUCAAGCCUCUUUCUGCUAUAUAUAAAAAAAGAACAAAAAGGGCUAGCUAGUUGUGUUCCAAUUUCAAGAAUAUCAUUUUCUUGAUUUUGAAUCUUUGAAUCUUUGAUAAUGGGGAAUUACAUGGAGACAUGCAUUCAAAGAGAGGAAAAGCCACAACUACAACAAGACAAGGUGGAAGAUAUCAAACAAGAUCCAGGAAAAGUAAGGGGUAACUACGGCAUGGAACGUAGUCGAAUGAGGGUAAAAUUGGUAUUAACAAAAGAUGAGCUUGAGUGGCUGUUGAUGCAAAUGAAGAACAAACAAGGGAAAAGAUUUGAAGAUGUGUUGGGGGAGAUAGAAAAGAGUAGGAUUAGUGGGAAAAGUGUUGCAGGAUGGAAACCUUCUUUGGAGAGUAUUAUGGAGACCCCUGAGGUUCAUCAUGAGAUGAUUAGAUCAUAAGAUGUUACAUGGUGAAGUUACUAUUUUACCCUCUUCUUUGUUAAAGAUCAUGUAUUUUUCACUCUUUGGGAUGGGAUCAUGUCCAGAUUUGUAAUUAUGUGUUUUGAUUUGGUAUUUUAGACUCAUCUAUCAAAGAUAGACAAAAUGUUUUUUUUUACUAAUCUUUUAGUAGUAACUUAUAUUCACUAUGGAUGUAUCAUCAAAUUAUUUCUGGUUAUGAUUUGUGUGCAUUUACUAA